rnacentral:rRNA from 1 species
UACGUAGGGUGCGAGCGUUAAUCGGAAUUACUGGGCGUAAAGCGCACGUAGGCGGCUUUGUAAGUUAGAGGUGAAAGCCCGGAGCUCAACUCCGGAAUUGCCUUUAAGACUGCAUCGCUCGAAUCAUGGAGAGGUGAGUGGAAUUCCGAGUGUAGAGGUGAAAUUCGUAGAUAUUCGCAAGAACACCAGUGGCGAAGGCGGCUCACUGGCCCGAUACUGACGCUGAGGCACGAAAGCGUGGGGAGCAAACAGG